rnacentral:rRNA from 1 species
UAUAUCAGUCAUGCAUAGCAUAUCAAUAAGCGGAGGAAAAGAAACUAACAAGGAUUCCCCUAGUAACGGCGAGUGAAGCGGGAAGAGCUCAAAUUUGAAAUCUUAAAAGGUUUUCCUUUUACGAAUUGUAGUUUAAAGAAGUGUUUUCUGUUGAAAUUUUAGUAAAAGUUCUUUGGAAUAGGACAUCAUAGAGGGUGAGAAUCCCGUAUUUGACUAGAAUUUUUCAACUUUGUGAUACACUUUCAAAGAGUCGGAUUGUUUGGGAAUGCAGUCCAAAAUGGGUGGUAAAUUUCAUCUAAAGCUAAAUAUUGGCGAGAGACCGAUAGCGAACAAGUACCGUGAGGGAAAGAUGAAAAGAACUUUGAAAAGAGAGUUAAACAGUACGUGAAAUUGUUAAAAGGGAAGCGUUUGACACCAGUGUUGUUUAUCUAAAAAUCAAUUUAAGAAUUGUUUUAUGAUUAUGUUGGAAGACUUUAUCGGCUUUCAGUAUUUUUUUUGAAGCUUUUUUUGAAUGCACUUUUUAGAUAACAAGUCAACAUCAAUUUUUUUUGCUGGAUAAAGGAAUAAGAGGAAGGUAGGCUUAGGACUUUGUUUUAAGUGUUUAUAGACUUCUAUUCCUACAAUCAGGAGAGAUUGAGGAUUGCAGCAUAGACUCCUUCGGGGUUAGAGCAUUUUGUGCUAAGGCGUCAGCAUUUAUAUAAACAACUUGUUGAUUAUAGUAUGUCAUGAUACCUACUCGCGAGUUGUAUUUUACCUACGCUUAGGAUGUUGACGCAUGAGAUAUACGC